rnacentral:pre_miRNA from 1 species
CAAGUACUCCAUCCGUCCGGAAUUACUUGUCAUCAAAAUGGAUGUGUCUAGAACUAAAAUACAUAUAGAUACAUCCAUUUCAAUGACAAGUAUUUUCGGACGGAGGGAGUACAAG